rnacentral:rRNA from 1 species
AUUGAACGCUGGCGGCAUGCUUUACACAUGCAAGUCGAACGGUAACAGGCCGCAAGGUGCUGACGAGUGGCGAACGGGUGAGUAAUGCAUCGGAACGUGCCCAGUCGUGGGGGAUAACGCAGCGAAAGCUGUGCUAAUACCGCAUACGAUCUAUGGAUGAAAGCGGGGGACCGUAAGGCCUCGCGCGAUUGGAGCGGCCGAUGUCAGAUUAGGUAGUUGGUGGGGUAAAGGCUCACCAAGCCAACGAUCUGUAGCUGGUCUGAGAGGACGACCAGCCACACUGGGACUGGGACACGGCCUAGACUCCUACGGGAGGCAGCAGUGGGGAAUUUUGGACAAUGGGCGCAAGCCUGAUCCAGCAAUGCCGCGUGCAGGAAGAAGGCCUUCGGGUUGUAAACUGCUUUUGUACGGAACGAAAAGGUUUGGGUUAAUACCCUGGGCCGAUGACGGUACCGUAAGAAUAAGCACCGGCUAACUACGUGCCAGCCGCCGCAGUAA